rnacentral:rRNA from 1 species
UACAGAGGUCCCAAGCGUUGUUCGGAUUCACUGGGCGUAAAGGGCGCGUAGGCGGGCGGUCAAGUCGGGGGUGAAAUCUUUCAGCUUAACUGGAAAAGUGCCUCCGAUACUGAUCGCCUCGAGGGAGGUAGGGGCAUGUGGAACUUCCGGUGGAGCGGUGAAAUGCGUAGAUAUCGGAAGGAACGCCGGUGGCGAAAGCGACGUGCUGGACCUCUUCUGACGCUGAGGCGCGAAAGCUAGGGGAGCAAACAGG